rnacentral:lncRNA from 1 species
UGCGCCGCCGCUGGUAAUAGCUCAUCCCCAUCUUCACCAAUUUCUUCCAUUCCGUGGUUGAAUAACUCAUCACAAUUUCUUCUCCAUCAAUCAUCUUCGUCCAGACCUACUAUAUGAGACUCCCAUAAUAAGAAAACAAGUCACAAUACAUCUCUAACAACCGCUACAUGUGAUAUUUUUCGACAACCGUGAGUGUCUUCAAUGUCUCCAACCACCAUAUUUGAAAUCAUUGUGCUCGACUCAUUCAUCUACGAGAAGAACCGCAAUCAAAACAACCAUUCAUGACUUAAUCGAAAAUUCUAACCAUCGCCUUCAAGCCUCGAUUCUGGCCGUUGUAGUGUUGACUCGAAAUAACGAAGAUCGGUUAUGUGAUCUAUGGGUCGAGAACUUUGUCCUACAAUAUUCAUUUUCAAUUUAAGCAAAAUCCGUGAAAACUUGUUAUCGUCGGCGUUACGGUAAAUGUUUUCCGAUCAACCUAGCAUUCAUUGUUCAUUUGUUUUGAACCUAUCAUAAUUAAAGUCAGAUGUUGAUGCGCUUUUAAUUUUAAUUUAAGUGUUGUUGUUAUCCGUAAGCACCGUUUCGAGUCAACCGUGUUGGUAAGGUCCUCCGACCAUUAUUUUUUUUCUUCCCUCCAUAAUUUCAACUUUGUUUCUACUUGUAAUAUCAUUUAUUAAAUAUUUGACUUUUUUUUAUCAUCGUCGCAAUUUCUCAGUUGCAAUUUGGUUAUUCUCUGGACCCGCUUUCAAACAAUUUAUUUUUUGAUUGCUCCAACAUUGCUGAAAUUUAAAGUGUACCGUAUGAAAUCAUUAAAGGAGGUAUGGAGUGAGAGAGAGUUCGAAUUCAUGAGUGUAAGUUAACUGAGAUGAAUGGGAAAACCUUAUUUCCCAUAAUUCAUUUGAGGCUCGCUAGUACGGUUGAAGUCUUUUGAGUAAUAGUUGACUAAUGAGAAAACUUGAAUUUGGUGAGGUUAAAAUACGAGUUAGAAACUUUUAUAGGGUGUUGUUUGAUUUAAAUUUUAAAUAUUGCUUGGUAGUUGAAUUAUUGCAGAAUUGUGUAUUUGAUGUAUUAUGUGUUUUGUUUAUAUCUACCUUGAUAUCAUUAUAUGAUAUAAAAUAUGAUGAAUUGUUAUUAAUUCAAUUUCAAUUGAAGUGAUGUGUGUGAAUGAUCUAGUAUUAUUAUCUGUGAGUGAAAAUCAUAUAUUGUUGGAGUUUGUGUAUUAUGAUGAUAAAUUUUGAAUGUAGUAAGUAUAUGACUAUGAAAAUAUGCAUUGAUGGUUACUUGUUGACUUAUGAUGUUACUACCUUGAUGAAUAUCACGAAAUGCAUAUUUCAUUUUAUUGAAUAGUGAUGAGUUUGACUUGUACCAAGGGUGGUUCUCUUAAUGGAGUGAGUAACCUAUGCCAACGAGGGGAGAAAAUAGAUGUUGAUAAUUUUUGAAGUGGAGAAUAUGUAGUCAUCAUAUAGGUAGGGCCUCAAAAUCCUAGUGAUUCCGGGGAAGUACAAUUGAAUGAGUCUGGUCGUGGCGGUCUGUUGUUGAGCCUUAGGGCAAGAUUGUUAGACCUUGGAGGUAUUCGAGUGGGGAACUCCUAGGUGACUUGGAGGUAGCACUUCAAAUGUCAAGAGCUACCAUGUAACACACGUUUACCUCGACUGUCGCGUAUAUGUGUCUCGGGUUGAGUCGAGGAGAUCUAUGAGUACAUGGCCAAAUUGAAUUGUUCGUCCACUUGCAUGGUGGCAUAGUAUUAAGCCUCCUAACCAAAUACUUCAGAGUUAGAAUGGUACCAAAGAAAGAGGAGGAGUCUAGAGUAUAAGAGCAUGCAUAACAUUACUUGAUUUGUGUGUUUACUUACUUGAUGUUGUGGAUUGUAUCAAUGUUUUACCUUGAUUAUUCUUGUUGAUUGUGAUUUGAUAUGAUACGGUGUUUAAUAUAUUUUACGUGUUCUUCUCAAUUAUUUAUACUAUUACAUGUUUUCGAAGCUCACCCUUUGUUGCUUGUGCUUGGCACUUGCGAGAGUACAGUUAUUUCAGGUUAUCGUUUGGUGAUCUACGCUUUGAAAGGUGAUAUUAGGUGGAAGUAAUUUGUUGUAUUUUGUUGAGUUAUGAACUAAUUUAGCUUUUUGUAAAUUCGAUCGAUCAAGGUAAAAAUUAAUUGUCUCUAAGUUUAGAAUGUUUUUUUAUGUUAGAAAUAUUUAUUUAAUA